CAUGGCGUAACUCCCCUGAAAGAAACAUAACCGCGAAGCUUUAGAAUCGUUGGCAAUCACUCUCACAACUUACAACCACCAACCACCAUCUUAACGAGCUGUCACGUUUAACGUACCUUCACUGCGGACACAACACCUAGCACUUUGGCAACCGAUCUUCUUUAGAAAAAUAUCAAAUCUUACAAUUCGAAUUUUACGUCCUUUUUAACAAUCAUAUACUAUUUUAAAGUAUAGACCUAUUGUGUCAUCGUCUUUGCUUCCAUUUUCCUAGUCAUCGAAGCAUCAUCUAGAGGCUAGUUUUUCCCUUGGCCAGGCAGGAAAACAACUCAAACUUCACUUUCUCCACCCUCAAUUUCACGCUUGUUUACAGACGAACUGCUUGACGCUCGCCGUAUAUCUCGGUUGAACAAACUCCGGGUUCUUACGGCGUAUCUUCUCAGCAGUCUUAAUCCUCUUACAGCAAUCUAGAGGUCAUCAUCUGUGUCUUGAAAACACACAAGUACAGUCCUUUCAACAACGAAAACUGAAGAAAAUCUGCUGUCGUCUACUGUUAAGUAGGAGACAGCGCGAGGGAGCCUUUUUUCAACCAUUUCGCCAACUGGAGCAGUAAAACUGAAGCGGGAGCAGCCAGACACCAGCGGGACCGAGCUCCUGUCGUCCUCCCAUCCGCAUCACUUGGAAGUGGCCACCGUGGGAAGCUACGCUGAGCUAGAGGCAGGGGACCCUCAGGCUUUGGACGAGCCCAGUAGGAAGCGACUUAAAAUGUCCACCGUUAGCAUGGAUUCGGGAAGCACCACUGGAGAAGAAGA